GAGGGUGUGGCUCAGUGGUAGAGUACUUUUCCAGCAUGUAAGAGGCCUGGAUUCAAUCCCCAGCACUACCC
rnacentral:tRNA from 1 species